rnacentral:lncRNA from 1 species
UCGGAAAGAAGGAGCUCUCCUUAGGCUGGGAGGGGCCAAGCCGCUGGCCCGUGAGCCUGGGGCAGCUCUGGACUGUGCUUGCUGUCCUUGAGGAGAAUGCAGCCAGCCCAGGGCAAAUCAGAGCCAGGCAGGAAGAAGACCUCCUUGAGAAGAAAACGGAACAUGGCCCUAACAGUGGGCAGCAUGAAACUGAGGAACACAGCAGGAAGCUGAUUUAGGCAAACUCAGCAGGAAGUGUUCCCUGUGAACCCAUGAGACUUCAUCCCUGCGUUGGUCUGGCUGGCUUUCCCUGUGAGAUACAGGUUCCUCCUGAAGAGCUGAAGCUCCAUUCCAGCUCUAGACUUCUCCUUGCUUUCAGACUUCAAGAUGAGAAGCAUUUUUCCAGUCCACAAGUGUUAGAGGACACUGCCGAUGAUGUGUGUUUUGCCCAGGCUGGACUCAGCUUCUUUGUCUCGUUUUGAAAGAAGAGUCAUGCUUCAAUUAAUAACAGACAACGGAGUCAAUAUGAAGGGAGCAGAGACAAUGAUGUGAUCAAAUGCCAAGAAAUGACUGACAGCAGAAAAAAUAUCAUGUGAGCCAAAGCAAUUUCACUUGACUUCUAACUUUAUUCAUCCAACGAAUAACAUUUCAUCACAGUUUUAUCAAUGGAAUGCAAUUCCACCCAGAUCAUUCUGUCAACGACAAGAAACAGCAUCAAAUCAUUCUGUCCACACAAAUAAAUCAAUUGUUGAUUAUUAUUUUCUUCUAUUUGGGAUACAAGGAGGACCAAAUAUUUCGAGUAAAACAAAGGAAAGGAAAGCAGAAAAACUUUUUGUUGUUGUUGACAAAUCCAGCUGGGUAAAUGCAAUUUAUGUCUUUUGAAAAAAUGCAUCCUGAUGUGAGGAGGGAUAAACUGUUUUUAAACUCGAACCAGGGACAAACUGUAAUAAUAAACACACUGGAAGAAAAUGCAACCAUUUAUUGGUUCUUGCAGAUAAAAUAGCAUUUCCAGUUUUUUUUUUUUUGUUUUUUUUUUUUGCUGUUGCUUAUGUAGUUCUCCUUACUGGAAUUCCUCUCCCUUUCUUUGAAUGUAUAAUCACAUUUUGAGAAAACACGAAAUCUCAGGGUCUUACAAAAUCCAACAGGGGAACGUGUCAUCUUUAAAUGACAAGCUGUGUGGGGAGUACUCUGGUUAUGAAUUAGGCUGUUUUUCCUAGUACUGCAAUUUCUUCUUGCUGCCAUUUCGAUGGUGUUGAAAGCCCUUUCUCCAGACUUGUAAGUUGGUGGUCCACUACUGAAUGGAAAGAAAUCUGGUUUUCCAUAUGUUCUCACUCAUAGGUGGGAAUUGAACAAUGAGAACACUUGGA